UACAGAGACUGCAAGCGUUAAUCGGAAUUACUGGGCGUAAAGCGUGCGCAGGCGGUUCGUUGUGUCGGCGGGGAAAGCCCCGGGCUCAACCUGGGAAUGGCCGUUGAAACUGGCGAACUGGAGUGUGGCAGAGGGGGGUGGAAUUCCGCGUGUAGCAGUGAAAUGCGUAGAGAUGCGGAGGAACACCGAUGGCGAAGGCAGCCCCCUGGGCUGACACUGACGCUCAGGCACGAAAGCGUGGGGAGCAAACAGG
rnacentral:rRNA from 1 species